rnacentral:rRNA from 1 species
AGAGUUUGAUCCUUGGCUCAGGAUGAACGCUGGCGGCGUGCUUAACACAUGCAAGUCGAACGAAAGCACUCUAUUUGAUUUCUUCGGAAUGAAGAUUUUGUGACUGAGUGGCGGACGGGUGAGUAACGCGUGGGUAACCUGCCUCAUACAGGGGGAUAACAGUUGGAAACGACUGCUAAUACCGCAUAAGCGCACAGGGUCGCAUGACCUGGUGUGAAAAACUCCGGUGGUAUGAGAUGGACCCGCGUCUGAUUAGCCAGUUGGUGGGGUAACGGCCUACCAAAGCAACGAUCAGUAGCCGACCUGAGAGGGUGACCGGCCACAUUGGGACUGAGACACGGCCCAAACUCCUACGGGAGGCAGCAGUGGGGAAUAUUGCACAAUGGGGGAAACCCUGAUGCAGCGACGCCGCGUGAGCGAAGAAGUAUUUCGGUAUGUAAAGCUCUAUCAGCAGGGAAGAAGAAAUGACGGUACCUGACUAAGAAGCACCGGCUAAAUACGUGCCAGCAGCCGCGGUAAUACGUAGGGGGCAAGCGUUAUCCGGAUUUACUGGGUGUAAAGGGAGCGUAGACGGUGUGGCAAGUCUGAUGUGAAAGGCAUGGGCUCAACCUGUGGACUGCAUUGGAAACUGUCAUACUUGAGUGCCGGAGGGGUAAGCGGAAUUCCUAGUGUAGCGGUGAAAUGCGUAGAUAUUAGGAGGAACACCAGUGGCGAAGGCGGCUUACUGGACGGUAACUGACGUUGAGGCUCGAAAGCGUGGGGAGCGAACAGGAUUAGAUACCCUGGUAGUCCCAGCCGUAAACGAUGGACGCUAGGUGUGGGGGGACCAUCCCCCCGUGCCGCAGCCAACGCAUUAAGCGUCCCGCCUGGGGAGUACGGCCGCAAGGCUAAAACUCAAAGGAAUUGACGGGGGCCCGCACAAGCAGCGGAGCAUGUGGCUUAAUUCGAAGCAACGCGAAGAACCUUACCAGGGCUUGACAUGCGAGUGAAGCCGCGGAGACGCGGUGGCCGAGAGGAGCUCGCGCAGGUGGUGCAUGGCUGUCGUCAGCUCGUGUCGUGAGAUGUUGGGUUAAGUCCCGCAACGAGCGCAACCCCCGUCCCGUGUUGCCAGCAUUGAGUUGGGGACUCGCGGGAGACUGCCGGCGUCAAGCCGGAGGAAGGUGGGGACGACGUCAAGUCAUCAUGCCCCUUAUGCCCUGGGCUGCACACGUGCUACAAUGGCCGGUACAGAGGGUUGCCACCCCGCGAGGGGGAGCGGAUCCCGGAAAGCCGGUCCCAGUUCGGACUGCAGUCUGCAACUCGACUGCACGAAGCUGGAAUCGCUAGUAAUCGCGAAUCAGCAUGUCGCGGUGAAUACGUUCUCGGGCCUUGCACACACCGCCCGUCA